UGUGACCAGGCAUGGUGGAAGCCAAAAGAGAGAUUUCUACAGGAGACCAGAGGGGAAAUCAAUAUCCCAGCUGAGGCUGGAUGGCCUCAGAAUCGGCAGGUUGGUUCACAGCACAGCAUCCUGGGAAGUUGGGCCAAUACAAGUGCUUUUCCAUGCAAAGACAUCCCAUAUGGUUGUUUGUCACCACAUCCAACGUACUCAAUGUCAGUGUGCAGAGAUCUCAUCUCCAAGCCAUGCUGGCUUAGCAGCUGGAAGCCAGCACCUUUCUUCCACCAGAUACCAUCCAACCUUGAAUCCCAUCAUCCAGAUAUGCAGAACAGUGGCCCAAAGCAAAGCUCUUCCUUCACUGAUACUUCUAUCCAGAUGAUGGGUUAGUUUAGAUGGUAAAGAACUUUUCUAACAUUACCAAUGUGAAG